rnacentral:rRNA from 1 species
AGAGUUUGAUCCUGGCUCAGGAUGAACGCUAGCUACAGGCUUAACACAUGCAAGUCGAGGGGCAUCAGGAAGAAAGCUUGCUUUCUUUGCUGGCGACCGGCGCACGGGUGAGUAACACGUAUCCAACCUGCCCUUUACUCGGGGAUAGCCUUUCGAAAGAAAGAUUAAUACCCGAUAGCAUAAUGAUUCCGCAUGGUUUCAUUAUUAAAGGAUUCCGGUAAAGGAUGGGGAUGCGUUCCAUUAGGUUGUUGGUGAGGUAACGGCCCACCAAGCCUUCGAUGGAUAGGGGUUCUGAGAGGAAGGUCCCCCACAUUGGAACUGAGACACGGUCCAAACUCCUACGGGAGGCAGCAGUGAGGAAUAUUGGUCAAUGGGCGCUAGCCUGAACCAGCCAAGUAGCGUGAAGGAUGAAGGCUCUAUGGGUCGUAAACUUCUUUUAUAUAAGAAUAAAGUGCAGUAUGUAUACUGUUUUGUAUGUAUUAUAUGAAUAAGGAUCGGCUAACUCCGUGCCAGCAGCCGCGGUAAUACGGAGGAUCCGAGCGUUAUCCGGAUUUAUUGGGUUUAAAGGGAGCGUAGGUGGACUGGUAAGUCAGUUGUGAAAGUUUGCGGCUCAACCGUAAAAUUGCAGUUGAUACUGUCAGUCUUGAGUACAGUAGAGGUGGGCGGAAUUCGUGGUGUAGCGGUGAAAUGCUUAGAUAUCACGAAGAACUCCGAUUGCGAAGGCAGCUCACUGGACUGCAACUGACACUGAUGCUCGAAAGUGUGGGUAUCAAACAGGAUUAGAUACCCUGGUAGUCCACACAGUAAACGAUGAAUACUCGCUGUUUGCGAUAUACAGUAAGCGGCCAAGCGAAAGCAUUAAGUAUUCCACCUGGGGAGUACGCCGGCAACGGUGAAACUCAAAGGAAUUGACGGGGG